rnacentral:sRNA from 1 species
CAAUGAUGCACCUCGCGAGGCUAUGUCGUCCCCGUAACAGAUCUUCCCGGGAGUUUCUUGGAAAUCCGGAAUGGUGUCAGCGCUGAGUGAGGGAUUGCGUACACGAGGUAAACGCGGCCCGGAACUAGCAAAAUCAGCAAAAUACUUCUGCCUGUCCUUCACACUGUAAUACUGUUUCUCUCUUUUCAUUAACGCAGCUGUUGUGCCAAAGGAACCGAAUUAAUUGAGUCUUUUCAAGGAAACGACCUUGGUCCCAAGGGUUGAAGUUGUCUUCAAGCACCCAUGUUACACAUAGGAUCGAAUCUCGAUUUACGGCAAGACUCUUCACUGCCUUGACUUCGCCUCAACCCUCGGCAGUUUACUGCAACUCAAACUAACUCGGGGCAUUCUGCCCCCUCCGGGAGAACAAAGCAAGCUGUUGUAGAAGCCUAUCAGCAUGCUUCUUCAACUGUGUGCGAGCGAUACUGGAGAGCGAUGACAUUCCCGCUGCUUGUGCUGUCGACCAUCUAAUUAGUUUUGAAAAACCCAAAGCAGAGCCCCCCACCUUGUCUGUCUGCCUCGUCCUUUACGCCACUGUAAAUUAGCCGGAUCAUCCAGGCCAGUAUUGAAUCGUCUUCUCAUACGAGUCCUAGCAGAAGCUUUCCAACCAGCCAGAAAUUGUGGUGCGAACGAGUUGGAAGCCAACAUUUUUGAGAACGUUACUUCAACUUCACCACAAGGAGAGAGAGAGAGAGAGGGCUGCAGCUGUUGGCACACCUGACUUUGAGGAUUCAACUGAUGCUGUUCAAUCUAGUUUAAUUCCCAAAAAAAGAUCACCCACGCACGGGAUCAUCGCGUACUCUUUCCAAAAGUUUGCCGAUAUGAAUGCAGUGCAUACGAAAGGAUGGUGGUUGUCACUACUCUCAUCAGAGCCAAAGAUAUAACUGGCUUCUGUAUGAUUUAUCAUGCUAGCAUUCUGUGUGUUGUAUCUCUCCAUGCCUAGGGAGUGGAGAUCUAUCUGUGUGCCGUAUGAUCAAGUUGUGAGAGAGAAGUAAUAGCCCUGCUGAGCAGUAUGAGAUUGAGUAGGAGGAUAUAGCUUACAUUACUAAAUAAUACCAAUCCUUUGUCUGAG